rnacentral:tRNA from 1 species
GCCCAAUUGGCCGAAUGGUUAAGGCGUUAAAAUUUUGAUUUAAUAUAAUAUGAAAAGGUCAGUGGUUAAACUCCACUAGGGUG